GGAGCUGCUUACACUUGCUUGGAGGCCGCAACGGGGAGGGCUCUGCUACGGCAGCACAUGGAUGUGUCUGGAGAGGAAAACCCACUCAACAAGCUUCGGGUGAAGAUUGAACCAGGUCCAGAAGGCUCCUCUGUCUUCCCCCCUCCAGUAAAUUAUGCUUGGAGCCCCCAAGUGUUGACCCAGAUGACACCUACAAUGAAACCCCCUACGAGAAAGGUUACUGCUUUGUCUCAUACCUGGCCCAUCUGGUGGGUGAUCAGGAACAGUUUGACAAGUUUCUCAAGGUACAGUCAACUCUCCAAGUGGGGAGAAGGACAAGGAGCAGGUAAAGCAGCUGGGUCAGAAUGCUAGGGUAGGGGGGACCACCGAAAGAGGUAAGGGGUCAGAGAGGGCCUGAGAGAUGGUGGGGGCUCUGCUCCUCAGGGUGGCCAGAGACACAACCACCUCCCUCCUCACAGGCCUAUGUAGAUGAGUUUAAGUUCCAAAGUAUCUUGGCUGAAGACUUUCUGGAAUUCUACCUGGAGUAUUUCCCUGAGCUGAAGAAGAAGGGAGUGGAUUCCAUCCCAGGUUUUGAGUUCAACCGAUGGCUGAACACCCCUGGCUGGCCCCCCUACCUCCCCGACCUCUCCCCUGGGGACUCACUCAUGAAGCCAGCUGAAGAGCUGGCGGAGCUGUGGGCGGCCUCAGAGCCAGACAUGCAAGCCAUCGAGGCUGUGGCCAUCUCUACCUGGAAGACCUACCAGCUUGUCUACUUCCUAGAUAAGAUCCUGCAGAAGUCUCCUCUCCCUCCUG
rnacentral:lncRNA from 1 species